AGUAAUGAAUUAAGGUUAUUUCUGGUUAAUUUUUGUUCUGAACUGGUCGUGGUGGAUGUAGUGUUGGGUUGUGAUCGUUAAUUGAUUGAGGCGGUGUAAAUACCUGUCGUUGACUUGGUUUUUGAUUUUGAAACAUUCAAAAUGCCUGUUUUUCACACAAAGACUAUCGAAAGUAUUUUAGAACCAGUGGCACAGCAGGUGUCACGGUUAGUCAUCUUACAUGAAGAAGCUGAAGAUGGCAAUGCAAUGCCUGAUCUGGAACGCCCUGU